UAGUGUUAACUGUUUAGAAUAUAAAGAUGCUUAUAACCCAAAAGGUUGCAAGGUAGUGACUAAUCCCAACUGAGUUGUGAUACCUCUAAAACAUAAAUUACGAGUUGGUCAUAGAUGGAUGCUUUGGAUCGUUAGAUCCGGAUCCAAUACCUUCUUGUUAAAAUUGUAUAGAGGUGAAAUGUUCGAAUCUUUAUUCUUUUGGAAAGAAGAAAGAAUCACAAAGUUGUUGAGGUUAAUUCACUUAGAUGUUAGUGGCACUUGUCCACAAACAUAAUACUACUCAUGUUAUAUGACAUUCACCGAAGAUCACUCUCGGUUGGACUAUAGUUUAUUUUGAAUAAACACAAAUCCGAAUACUUUGCAAAAGGUUUCAAAGAAUUCAAGAAAUGUAAGUUGAUGAGUAAGACGUCUAAAGUAUUUACC
rnacentral:lncRNA from 1 species